UAUGAGUUCUGGAGGCAGAACACCUGAGUCUGAGGAGCCCUGCUCUUUAGGAGCUGUGUGACCUUGACAACUUCCUGACCCUCUUAGGGACUCUGCUAUCUUCCUUGAAAAACAGGGAUUAAAUGAGGUAAUGUGUGUGUGGACUGCAAGGCCAGGAAAAAGAAGGUACACUUUUGUGUUCUCUUCCAGCGAGUCAAGGCUCCUCUGCUUCCCCUUUCUCAGCCCCAUAGCUCCAAGGAACACAGUAAUGACUGCCGGGGCACGCACACAGCAAGCAGCUUUGCCGUGCUGCCCUGCUGUUCUGAAGGCCUUUUGCUGCAAAAGAGAUGCACCUGUCAUUUCCUGCAGGCGCUUCCAAGGCUCUUCAUGGAGAAGCUGCCUUAAAUGAAAAGGCCAUUGUUUGUGUUAAGAAACAACUUUGCUAAUCCCAGAAAUAGCUCCUGCUCUACAGGCCCCGAUGGCACCAGUGGAAGGAAGCCAGCAUGUCACUGCAGAUUCUGGGGCUCCUUGUGUAGGAUUUACAGGGGGCUACCUGAUGUGGAUGGAGUCCAGCUUCAUACUUUCCUGGCUGUGAUAUUGGCAAGGUUGGCCUCACCUAAGCCUCCAUGUCCUUAUUUGUAUAAUGCAGUUACCAAUGUCCAUAUUUCAGGGCUCCUGUAAAGAUUGCAGAUAAUGUUAAUGAAAUGCCUAACGAAGGACCUGGUCUAAAGUGGAGAUUCAGUGAGUGUUAGUUCUCCUGUUUCUCUUCUGCCCUCUCUCCCUCAGGCCCACAUUUAGAGGUGUUCAUUUGUAACAGACACUCAGGCAGAGGUGCAUUCUGUCAAAAAGGCUCUGUCAAGAACAAGGGGCUCUGCCUGCUCUGGAAGAGUCCCCUGGGUCCGCCCAGUUCCGAAAUCUCACCCGCACAUGUUCUUCAGCUCAGGAACUGAUGAAGACGACAAAGCGACUUGAUAAAAAUGGCUGAACCUGCAUGCAUAAAAGAGAACAACGUUCAGACACUUCUGUCUGGUGACCCCUGCAAGAUUCUGGUAUCAAACUCCUGUCUCUCCUCACUAAGGACCAGGGGUUGCCCUGGUGUGGCGGAAGCUAUAUAGAGGCCCACACCAUAAUGUCUGCCAAGUCCUCCAGGCCCUCUUACAUCUUAUGUUCAAUUUUCCCUCAUUGCUUCUUCUGGAAUGUCCACUCCCUGUUUCAGAGCUGAGAAUGCUGACUUCUUAGUCUUUUCUUAUGCAAUUGCUGAAAGUGCAGCUUUUAAGUCCUGCAUCAUUAUCAAAUUGAUUUCCGCCAAAAGCUUUUCUUCUCUUGCCAAUGCUCUGGGAACACGGGUUGCUGCCUUCUCAGUCUGGAUAGAUAC
rnacentral:lncRNA from 10 species